rnacentral:rRNA from 1 species
GACUAAGCCAUGCAAGUCGUACGGUGCACCUUGCACCGUGGCGGACUGCUCAGUAACAAGUGAUCAACUUACCCUACGGUGGAGCAUACCCUCGGGAAACUGAGGCUAAUACUCCGUAGUUGACAAGGCCUGGAAGGGUUUGUCAUCAAUAGUGUAGUUCAAAUGGGAAUUACAUGCCGUAGGAUAGGAUCGCUCCCGAUUAUGGUUGUUGGCGAGGUAAUGGCUCACCAAGCCUAUGAUCGGUACGGGCCGUGAGAGCGGGAGCCCGGAGAUGGGUACUGAGACAAGGACCCAGGCCUUACGAGGCGCAGCAGGCGCGAAACCUUUACAAUGCACGAAAGUGUGAUAAGGUUACCCGGAGUUCUAAGAGAAAACUUUUAGCUGUUGUGGGGAGUAGGUAUCCCCACCAGAAAGGAGAGGGCAAGGCUGGUGCCAGCCGCCGCGGUAAAACCAGCUCUUCAAGUGAUCGGGACUUUAUUGGGCUUAAAGCGUCCGUAGCCGGGUUGGUAAGUUCCUGGUAAAAUCUGGCCGCUUAACGGUCAGCAGGCUAGGAAUACUGCCUUCCUUGAGGGUGGGAAAGGUCUGAGGUACUCUGGGGGUAGCGGUGAAAUGUGAUAAUCCUCAGGGGACCACCAGUGGCGAAGGCGUCAGACUGGAACACGCCUGACGGUGAGGGACGAAAGCUAGGGGAGCGAACGGGAUCAGAUACCCCGGUAGUCCUAGCUGUAAACGAUGUGCGUUAGGUGUCGGUGGGGCUAGGAGCCGCACCGGUGCCGUAGAGAAAUCGUUAAACGCACCGCCUGGGAAGUACGCUCGCAAGAGUGAAACUUAAAGGAAUUGGCGGGGGAGCACCACAAGGGGUGAAGCCUGCGGUUCAAUUGGACCCAACGCCGGGAAGCUUACCAGGGGCGACAGCAGUAUGAAGGUCAGGCUGACGACCUUACCAGACAAGCUGAGCGGAGGUGCAUGGCCGUCGCCAGUUCGUGCCGUGAGGUAUCCUGUUAAGUCAGGCAACGAACGAGACCCACACACUUAGUUACCAGCAACCGUCUUCGGAUGGGUUGGGAACGCUAGGUGAACCGCCGCCGUACAGACGGAGGAAGGGGUGGGCCACGGCAGGUCAGUAUGCCCCCAAUCCCCUGGGCCACACGCGGGCUGCAAUGGUGGGGACAAUGGGUUGCAACACCGAAAGGUGAAGCCAAUCUCGAAACCCCAUCUCAGUUGGGAUUGUCGGCUGCAACUCGCCGACAUGAACGUGGAAUCCCUAGUAAUCGUGUGUCAACAUCGCACGGUGAAUACGUCUCUGCUCCUUGCACACACCGCCCGUCGCUCCAUCCGAGUGUAGCGCAAUUGAAAACUAAUCCAUCGGGUAAGCUUGAGAUUGUGUUACGCGAGGAGGGAGAAGUCGUAACAAGGUA